CUAGCCUCCUCUGUUGAAUCAGAACAAUAAUCGCUGUCAGGAGCGUGACUCGAUUUACGAGAGAAGAGGUUAAGAGAAAAAGCGAUUUGUACGCGUACUAUACGUAAUACGUGCAUGGUAUUUUGUCGAAAACACGCGAGAGAAGCUUAAAAAGAAUAUCAACGCGCAACAAAAUAAUUUGUCGAGAUCUGGAACUGAUUUGUCUUUGCAUCGAGCCCUUCAACUGCCAUCGUACGUAAUACUCGAUGAAGCCGAAAGUAUUUUACGAGAAUACAGGAGGCAAUUCGUUAGGCGAAUAUUUUACAAUUAUCUUUGUAUUGUCUUUGUAUUCUAUCGAUCGAGAAAAGUACAAAAGAGAGAUUUUACCAACGAUGCCGUAUAUUUUAUGAAUGAAACGCUUGUUUCAGCUACGCGUAUGCUGUUUCAGAGAUCCAUCGUUCCACUCUUUUCGCAUCUGAGAGCAUUCCUUUGUAUUGUCGAAGCAAUUACUCUCUUGGAGUGGUUGAACGUUUCUGAAAAUUAUUUUGUCGAUACGAGCCUAAACGUAGCAGGCCCAUCAGCAAUUCUACGCAUCCAGCAAGAAAACAAAAGAGCACGAUAAAAUCCACUGGCAUGUUUCUUGUAUAUUCGAAGGUAAGUAGCGACAUCAAGGACGAAGGACCAAUCGAUACUUCUUUGAUCGUUCCCAAAAAGAUGUAGACAAAGUUGCCCAUUAGACACGAAUAAAGACCAUACUGCAAAGAAUUGGACGCUUUAUAAUUUGUACGUUUAUGUGAUCGAACGCGGCAAGUAUGAAGAGUAAACAGUAAUGAAUUAACAUCGGGCGUAAUCGUUGUGUUUCUGUCUGUCCAGAAUAAUCUCGCAGAUGGUUUUAGAAAAUCUGGCUCUUGCGUAAAUUCACGUGCGAGGUUCCCAUCGGAAUUGUAAUGACACGUAACCAAGAAAAAGGUAACAAAAGCGAGAAAUCAAAGUCGAACGAUUCGAGCGAGUGAAAACUGAGUAUCGACGAUAUGAAAACCUUACAGAUCGGCGAUAACUAUCUUUUGCUUCUAAGAAUCUGAAGAUUGGAAUCACGAUAGCCAUAGAAAAGUGCGAGAGAAAUGUUCGAAUACCUCGGUAUUGAUGGGCGAAUCAUCGUCGAUGGGACGAACAAGAUAAGAUGUAAAUAAUAGUAAACAACAAUAUAUUCAAGCAAUGGCGCGAUAUGAUAACUAGAUAGGGGUGAGAACGAAGAAAAUUUCUCGAUCGACCAAGUAAGGAGUAAAGAGUAAAAAUAUACCUGAGC